UCCUACGGGAGGCAGCAGUGGGGAAUAUUGGACAAUGGGGGAACCCUGAUCCAGCAAUGCCGCGUGUGUGAAGAAGGCCUUUUGGUUGUAAAGCACUUUAAGCGAGGAGGAGGCUACUUAGAUUAAUACUCUAGGAUAGUGGACGUUACUCGCAGAAUAAGCACCGGCUAACUCUGUGCCAGCAGCCGCGGUA
rnacentral:rRNA from 1 species